rnacentral:rRNA from 1 species
ACUACGGGCGGCAGCAGUGGGGAAUAUUGCGCAAUGGGCGAAAGCCUGACGCAGCGACGCCGCGUGAGGGAUGAAGGUCUUCGGAUCGUAAACCUCUGUCAGCAGGGAAGAACGGUCACUGUGCUAAUCAGCAGUGCAUUGACGGUACCUGCAAAGGCAGCACCGGCUAACUCCGUGCCAGCAGCCGCGGUAAUACGGAGGGUGCGAGCGUUAAUCGGAAUUACGGGGCGUAAAGCGCUCGUCGGCGGUAUGUCCGUUCAAGGGUGAAAUCCCCGCGCUCAACGUGGGAACUGCCUUUGAAACUGGCAAACUGGAGUGUGUGAGAGGAGAGUGGAAUUCCAGGGGUAGGAGUGAAAUCCGUAGAUAUCGGGAGGAACAUCAGUGGCGAAGGCGACUAUCUGGCACAUAACUGACGCUGCGGAGCGAAAGCGUGGGUAGCAAACAGGAUUAGAUACCCUAGUAGUC